rnacentral:rRNA from 1 species
GAUGAACGCUGGCGGCGUGCCUAAUACAUGCAAGUCGAGCGAACAGACGAGGAGCUUGCUCCUCUGACGUUAGCGGCGGACGGGUGAGUAACACGUGGAUAACCUACCUAUAAGACUGGGAUAACUUCGGGAAACCGGAGCUAAUACCGGAUAAUAUAUUGAACCGCAUGGUUCAAUAGUGAAAGACGGUUUUGCUGUCACUUAUAGAUUGAUCCGCGCCGCAUUAGCUAGUUGGUAAGGUAACGGCUUACCAAGGCAACGAUGCGUAGCCGACCUGAGAGGAUGAUCGGCCACACUGGAACUGAGACACGGUCCAGACUCCUACGGGAGGCAGCAGUAGGGAAUCUUCCGCAAUGGGCGAAAGCCUGACGGAGCAACGCCGCGUGAGUGAUGAAGGUCUUCGGAUCGUAAAACUCUGUUAUUAGGGAAGAACAAAUGUGUGAGUAACUAUGCACGUCUUGACGGUACCUAAUCAGAAAGCCACGGCUAACUACGUG